rnacentral:pre_miRNA from 1 species
GGAGCCAUAGGAAGGGAUGCCAAUCCAGCCUUAAGAAGAGAAACCUGCCAUGGGAGUCUUAGUGAUUGGUGACUCUCCUAAUGACUUA